UGGGGAAUCUUGCGCAAUGGGCGAAAGCCUGACGCAGCAACGCCGCGUGCGGGAUGACGGCCUUCGGGUUGUAAACCGCUUUCAGCAGGGACGCGGUACCUGCAGAAGAAGCCCCGGCUAACUACGUGCCAGCAGCCGCGGUAAUACGUAGGGGGCAAGCGUUGUCCGGAAUCAUUGGGCGUAAAGAGCUCGUAGGCGGUUCAGUAAGUCGGGUGUGAAAGCUCCGAGCUCAACUCGGAGAGGCCACUCGAUACUGCUGGACUAGAAUCCAGUAGGGGAGUGUGGAAUUCCUGGUGUAGCGGUGAAAUGCGCAGAUAUCAGGAGGAACACCGGCGGCGAAGGCGGCACUCUGGGCUGGUAUUGACGCUGAGGAGCGAAAGUGUGGGUAGCAAACAGGAUUAGAUACCCCAGUAGU
rnacentral:rRNA from 1 species